GCCGGGCAUGGUGGCGGGUGCCUGUAAUCCCAGCUACUUGGGAGGCUGAGGCAGGAGAAUCACUUGAACCUGGGAGGCGGAGGUUGCAGUGAGCCAAGAUCAUGCUGUUGCACUCUAGCCUGGGUGACAGAGUGAGACUCUGUCUCAA
ensembl:misc_RNA Metazoa_SRP Metazoan signal recognition particle RNA